AUUGAACGCUGGCGGCAGGCCUAACACAUGCAAGUCGAGCGCGCGUCGGACGGGUGAGUAAUGCCUAGGAAUCUGCCUGUUCGUGGGGGAUAACGUCCGGAAACGGGCGCUAAUACCGCAUACUAUCAGAUUAGCCUAGGUCGGGUUUGCUAGUUGGUGGGGUCAAGGCCUACCAAGGCGCCGAUCUGUAGCGGGUCUGAGAGGAUGGACCGCCACACUGGGACUGAGAAACGGCCCAGAAUCCUACGGGAGGCAGCAGUGGGGAAUAUUGGACAAUGGGGGGAACCCUGAUCCAGGCAUGCCGCGUGUGUGAAGAAGGCCUUAUGGUUGUAAAGCACUUUAAGCGAGGAAGCGUUACUCGCAGAAUAAGCACCGGCUAACUCUGUGCCAGCAGCCGCGGUAAUUC
rnacentral:rRNA from 1 species